rfam:TPA: Bos taurus chromosome 29, whole genome shotgun sequence.
UCCCUGGUGGCUCAGACAGUACAGUGUCUGCCUACAAUGCAGGAGACCCAGGUUCAAUCCCUGGGUUGGGAA